rnacentral:rRNA from 1 species
GUAGGGGGCAAGCGUUGUCCGGAAUCAUUGGGCGUAAAGAGCGUGUAGGCGGCUUGGUAAGUCCGCUGUGAAAGUCCAGGGCUCAACCCUGGAAAGCCGGUGGAAACUGUCAAGCUUGAGUCCGGAAGAGGCGAGUGGAAUUCCUGGUGUAGCGGUGAAAUGCGCAGAUAUCAGGAGGAACACCAAUGGCGAAGGCAGCUCGCUGGGACGGUACUGACGCUGAGACGCGAAAGCGUGGGGAGCAAACAGGAUUAGAUACCCUGGUAGUCCACGCCGUAAACGAUGGGCACUAGGUGUGGGGGGUGUCGACUCCCUCCGUGCCGACGCUAACGCAUUAAGUGCCCCGCCUGGGGAGUACGGCCGCAAGGCUA